GGUGUGCCACCUCACUCUAUGAUAAUAAAGAGGCCAAAACUUACGGAAACUGCAAAUCGGAUUGCAAGGACAACACAAUUGGUCCAACUACAGUUAAACCAUUAGGGAAUCGAUGCAAAACUACUCAAGAAGUAGACUGCAUAUUCCCAUUUAUUUAUGCUGGCGUGACUUAUAACUCAUGCGCGGAUGAUGCCAAUAACGGAGUCAAAUGGUGUGCCACCUCACUCUAUGAUAAUAAAGAGGCCAAAACUUACGGAAACUGCAAAUCGGAUUGCAAGGACAACACAAUUGGUCCAACUACAGUUAAACCAUUAGGGAAUCGAUGCAAAACUACUCAAGAAGUAGACUGCAUAUUCCCAUUUAUUUAUGCUGGCGUGACUUAUAACUCAUGCGCGGAUGAUGCCAAUAACGUAGUCAAAUGGUGUGCCACCUCACUUUAUGAUAAUAAAGAGGCCAAAACUUACGGAAACUGCAAAUC
rnacentral:lncRNA from 1 species